GAUGAACGCUGGCGGCGUGCUUAACACAUGCAAGUCGAACGGUGAAGCAGGAGCUUGCUCUUGUGGAUCAGUGGCGAACGGGUGAGUAACACGUGAGCAACCUGCCCCUGACUCUGGGAUAAGCGCUGGAAACGGCGUCUAAUACUGGAUAUGUGAUGUGACCGCAUGGUCUGCAUCUGGAAAGAAUUUCGGUUGGGGAUGGGCUCGCGGCCUUUCAGCUGGUUGGUGAGGUAAUGGCUCACCAAGGCGUCGACGGGUAGCCGGCAUGAGAGGGUGACAGGCCACACUGGGACUGAGACACGGCCCAGACUCCUACGGGAGGGAGCAGUGGUGAAUAUUGCACAAUGGGCGGAAGCCUGAUGCAGCAACGCCGCGUGAGGGAUGACGGCCUUCGGGUUGUAAACCUCUUUUAGCGGGGAAGAAGCGAAAGUGACGGUACCUGCAGAAAAAGCACCGGCUAACUACGUGCCAGCCGCCGCGGUAA
rnacentral:rRNA from 1 species